GACGAACGCUGGCGGCGUGCUUAACACAUGCAAGUCGAACGGAAAGGCCCUGCUUUUGUGGGGUGCUCGAGUGGCGAACGGGUGAGUAACACGUGAGUAACCUGCCCUUGACUUUGGGAUAACUUCAGGAAGCUGGGGCUAAUACCGGAUAGGAGCUCCUGCUGCAUGGUGGGGGUUGGAAAGUUUCGGCGGUUGGGGAUGGACUCGCGGCUUAUCAGCUUGUUGGUGGGGUAGUGGCUUACCAAGGCUUUGACGGGUAGCCGGCCUGAGAGGGUGACCGGCCACAUUGGGACUGAGAUACGGCCCAGACUCCUACGGGAGGCAGCAGUGGGGAAUAUUGCACAAUGGGCGGAAGCCUGAUGCAGCAACGCCGCGUGCGGGAUGUCGGCCUUCGGGUUGUAAACCGCUUUCGCCUGUGACGAAGCGUGAGUGACGGUAAUGGGUAAAGAAGCACCGGCUAACUACGUG
rnacentral:rRNA from 1 species